GGGAGAAAUUCAAUAGCGUGUCGGCGCAGGCGGCCGAUGUGCGUGUGACGAUAUAACGGAAUGGCGUCGCUUCGGCGUCGUCGACAAUUCUCGUUUGUCGCGCCGUACGUCGGCCGAUCCGGCGUCGACCGCGUGCAUUUUUCUCCUGGUAGGACGUCGCGAUCCGUCGAGUCGUCGAUCUAAGACCGUUUCGCGGUAGAGCCCGCCGACGGGGGUCUCCCCUUUUCGUCGGCGGAUCCGCCUGUUCCGAUCGAAUCGCUCGACGGUAGAGGAAAGGUUUCGGGUCGCCCCGAAUUUUUUUUUUGCGGCGGCGUUGGAGUCGCGGCAAGGGCGCCGUUUGCGUAUGGACGUCGGUCCGGCGCUCGCGCGCCGGGCGCGGACGUCUCCCGCUGAUCGGAUCUCCGCAUUCGAUCGCGGGCCGUCGGCGCGUUGCUGGCCGCGAAAUCAGAUCUCCGACGGACCCGCUGAAGCCGAUCUGCGACGCUUUAGCUUUAGGUAAUUUCAGGACCCGUCUUGAAACACGGACCAAGGAGUCUAGCAUGUGCGCGAGUCAUUGGGUGUGCGUGUCUUUCGACCAAACCUAAAGGCGCAAUGAAAGUAAAACUCGAACGCGCAAGCGUACGGGAAAGGGAAGAUGGACGUGACGCGUCCGUGUAGUUUUCGGACUUUGCGGGCGUCGCAACCCGCAUUCCCGGGGCGUUUCGUUCUCCUAAUCGAGACGAGGCGCACCAUGAGCGUAC
rnacentral:rRNA from 1 species